rnacentral:rRNA from 1 species
CUCCUUUGACGUUAGCGGCGGACGGGUGAGUAACACGUGGGUAACCUACCUAUAAGACUGGGAUAACUUCGGGAAACCGGAGCUAAUACCGGAUAAUAUUUCGAACCGCAUGGUUCGAUAGUGAAAGGUGGUUUUGCUAUCACUUAUAGAUGGACCCGCGCCGUAUUAGCUAGUUGGUAAGGUAACGGCUUACCAAGGCGACGAUACGUAGCCGACCUGAGAGGGUGAUCGGCCACACUGGAACUGAGACACGGUCCAAACUCCUACGGGAGGCAGCAGCC